GCCUUCAGAUCUCCGAGGAGCCAAACGGACGGCCCUGAUUUCACGCAAGCACUCCUGUCCACGCCAACCCGAUGGAAGCCGAUCCCCAAAACUGAAGCAGAGAACCCGAUCGGAGCAAUCAUGGACGCCCUCACCCGCCUCCACCGGUCGCUCGCCGGCGGCGACGACGAAGAGUGGCAGGAGGACGACAUCCUCGGUGAUACCGAAGGCCUCUGCUCUCUCUCCCCUCUCCAGCGGCUCUACGCCUUCGCGGCUUGCUUGGUUGCUGGACUCGCCCUCAUGAUGCUGUCACUUAUUGUUUUCGCUAGACCUAUCAAAUUUGCUCUCUUGUUUACAUUUGGAAACAUAAUGGCAGUUGGCAGCACAGUCUUUGUAAUGGGGGUAAAUAAACAAUUGAGGAUGAUGCUUGACCCAGUUCGUGUUUAUGCAACGGCUAUUUAUGUUGGAUGUGCUGUUUUUGCUCUGAUUUUCGCUCUUUUGAUUCAUGACAAGCUGCUAACAUUGAUUGCAAUCAUAUGUGAGAUAUGUGCGCUCUUCUGGUAUAGCUUGAGCUACAUCCCUUUCGCUCGACGGAUUGUUUCCAACCUGAUGGUGAAGCUGUGCGACACUGAGCUAUGAUGUUACUUUGGCGCCUGAUGGUCAUUGUCAACAUGCUCCGGCGCCUGAAAUUGGAGAUCUGUUCGUCUCCACCGCUCCUGCAGUGCAUAAGAAGCUGGAUACCCUUCGCUCCUGUCCACUGGCCUGCGGGGCCCACCAGAACGGACGUCGCGGCGGGCCCACACGCCAGUGAACCGGUGGGACGGCACGCGUGGACUCUCUGCUUCAGUUCUCCCAGCCAUUUUCAAAUUUCGAAACCCGUGUCGCUCGCCUCCACCUAUAUAUGCGAUCGUCGCUGCUCCUCCUCCCCCCACACGCAGCAGCAGCGCACGGCACCUCGCCUCCGCCUCCCAGUCCCAGGCGCUGCAUGGGCAAGGCCUUCUCCCUCCUGCGCCCGGAGCCACAGACGCAGGGAGAGCCGGGGGAGGGGAUGGCGAUGGAGCUGAGGAAGCGCCC